rnacentral:rRNA from 1 species
UACAGAGGUCUCAAGCGUUGUUCGGAAUUACUGGGCGUAAAGGGUCUGUAGGUGGCUUGCUAAGUCAGACGUGAAAUCCCUCAGCUUAACUGGGGAACUGCGUCUGAGACUGGCGAGCUUGAGUGCAGGAGAGGAGCGCGGAAUUCCAGGUGUAGCGGUGAAAUGCGUAGAUAUCUGGAGGAACACCGGUGGCGAAGGCGGCGUUCUGGACUGCAACUGACACUGAGAGACGAAAGCCAGGGGAGCAAACGGG